UACAGAGGGGGCCAGCGUUAUUCGGAAUUAUUGGGCGUAAAGAGCUCGUAGGCGGUCUGUCGCGUCGGCUGUGAAAACCCGGAGCUCAACUCCGGGCCUGCAGUCGAUACGGGCAGACUGGAGUUCGGCAGGGGAGACUGGAAUUCCUGGUGUAGCGGUGAAAUGCGCAGAUAUCAGGAGGAACACCGGUGGCGAAGGCGGGUCUCUGGGCCGAUACUGACGCUGAGGAGCGAAAGCGUGGGGAGCGAACAGG
rnacentral:rRNA from 1 species